UACGUAGGGUGCGAGCGUUGUCCGGAAUUAUUGGGCGUAAAGAGCUCGUAGGCGGCUCGUCGCGUCGGAUGUGAAAGCCCGGGGCUUAACUCCGGGUCUGCAUUCGAUACGGGCAGGCUAGAGUUCGGUAGGGGAGAUCGGAAUUCCUGGUGUAGCGGUGAAAUGCGCAGAUAUCAGGAGGAACACCGGUGGCGAAGGCGGAUCUCUGGGCCGAUACUGACGCUGAGGAGCGAAAGCGUGGGGAGCAAACAGG
rnacentral:rRNA from 1 species